rnacentral:rRNA from 1 species
GACGAACGCUGGCGGCGCGCCUAACACAUGCAAGUCGAACGAGAAAGAGGGAGCUUGCUCCCUUGAUCGAGUGGCGAACGGGUGAGUAACGCGUGAGGAACCUGCCUCAAAGAGGGGGACAACAGUUGGAAACGACUGCUAAUACCGCAUAAGCCCACGGCUCGGCAUCGAGCAGAGGGAAAAGGAGCGAUCCGCUUUGAGAUGGCCUCGCGUCCGAUUAGCUAGUUGGUGAGGUAACGGCCCACCAAGGCGACGAUCGGUAGCCGGACUGAGAGGUUGAACGGCCACAUUGGGACUGAGACACGGCCCAGACUCCUACGGGAGGCAGCAGUGGGGAAUAUUGCACAAUGGGGGAAACCCUGAUGCAGCGACGCCGCGUGGAGGAAGAAGGUCUUCGGAUUGGUAAACUCCUGUUGUUGAGGAAGAUAAUGACGGUACUCAACAAGGAAGUGACGGCUAACUACGUG